rnacentral:rRNA from 1 species
UACGUAGGGUGCAAGCGUUGUCCGGCAUUAUUGGGCGUAAAGAGCUCGUAGGCGGUCUGUCGCGUCGGCUGUGAAAUCCCGAGGCUCAACCUCGGGUCUGCAGUCGAUACGGGCAAACUAGAGUAUUGCAGGGGAGACUGGAAUUCCUGGUGUAGCGGUGAAAUGCGCAGAUAUCAGGAGGAACACCGGUGGCGAAGGCGGGUCUCUGGGCAAUAACUGACGCUGAGGAGCGAAAGCGUGGGGAGCGAACAGG